CUGAAACUAAAAAUCCACUUAAAGUACAACCACAUCUAAAAAAAUGCUUUGAAGGUAUUAAUAGAUUGGUAUUUGAUCCAGAAUAUAAUAUUUCUGCAAUGAUAUCAAUGGAAGGUGAGCAAGUAGAACUUUUGGAAAUAAUUAGCGUUGCAGCAGCGAGAGGCUCAGUAGAAAAAUGGCU
rnacentral:lncRNA from 1 species